rnacentral:lncRNA from 1 species
GAAAAUUGCCCUUAGACAGCAUGUGCAUAAUUUAAACCAACAAAUGGCGCUUGCGGCCCUCCAGACGCCAGCAAGACACCGCACGGGGCGAUUAGCCAACAACCUGCCCAAAGGGAAGGACGAGGGAAAGAGACCAGGAUAAACAACAGAGAAUAGUAACUCCACAGUAGCCCUGAGCGACAGUCAGGAGAAGAAGAAAAUACACAAACACAGGUCUCUGCCUUGAGGUCCUAAAAGCUGCAAAUGAGACCUGUCUUACAAGGAAAUAAAAAAGAGACGCACUUCAGUCAAAGUCGUGUUAGAGGCCCUUGUUUGCAGGUGAAAACUGAGCUGGGAUUGAAGGCCAGGCUUUGACCCUGGGCAGGGUCUAGGAAGACCAAAGAGCUACACAAGACGCUCUGGGGACAUCGUGAGCAGAGCCACCGAGGUGUGGGUCAGCAGGAAGGCACAGUGGAGACACAGCCCUGCUUCUCCGUGACCAGUGCACAGUUCCAGCGCAAAAUGAGCUACCAAAGUUGUGUGAUCACAGGGGCCUUAGGAGAAGCCCACCAUCUGCUCAGCUGGCAAAUCUGAAAUGAUGAUCAUUACAACCUCUGACAGAGCUGGUCCAGAGCUGGGGUCUCCAAGGCCGCUAUUCAUGGUGACUCAUGGAACAGAGGGUCCACAGUCUAACUCUUACCUCAGCAGAUCACUAUCAUAACCACUUCAGAACAAGUGCCACUGUGACUCAUCAGAGUGAGACAGAGAAAAAGAGUUUCCAAUAGGAACCUUUGCUCAAUGACAUUGAAGGCAACCAGAAGAUGCUACCUGAAAACAUGCCACUCUGGCCUGAGGAUUAUUUUGAGCUGAUGGCAAUUGAGGAACAGCAAAGGCAAGAAAAGUUCUAAAACCCUUUGGUAAAGGAAAUUCACUUUUACAAAAGAAAUUUCUAUUUGUGAAAGUGUCCUCUUCUCUCUUACCUGAGAGUAACUCUUAUUGCCUGAGAUGACUCUUAUCUGCAUAACAAACCUUUGUAAACGUCUCUUACCUGCAUAUCCUACUCGCAUUCCCAUAACUCAUCCCCCAUAAGCACCAAACUUCCCUUCCUUCAUCUCCCUUCUUCUCCACACUUCAUCAUCCUUAAUGUCAUCUGGAAGCCCCAAAGUUAACCACCUG